rnacentral:rRNA from 1 species
GGCGAGGUAACGGCUCACCAAGGCGAUGAUGGGUAGGGGUUCUGAGAGGAAAGUCCCCCACACUGGCACUGAGAUACGGGCCAGACUCCUACGGGAGGCAGCAGUAAGGAAUAUUGGUCAAUGGACGCAAGUCUGAACCAGCCAUGCCGUGUGCAGGAAGAAGCUUUUAGGAGUGUAAACUGCUUUUUUAUAAGAACAAAGAGCUCCUGCGGGAGAAGAUGAGAGUAUUAUAAGAAUAAGUACCGGCUAACUACGUGCCAGCAGCCGCGGUAAUACGUAGGGUGCAAGCGUUAUCCGGAUUUACUGGGUUUAAAGGGUGCGUAGGCGGUUUCUCAAGUCGGUGAUAAAAGCUUGGUGCUUAACGCCAAAAGUGUUGCCGAUACUAGGAAGCUAGAGUAAAGAAAGGGUAAGCGGAAUUUAUGGUGUAGCGGUGAUAUGCUUAGAUAUCAUAAGGAACUUCAAUAGCGUAGGCAGCUUACUAGUCUUUUACUGACGCUGAGGCACGAAAGGCGGGUAGCAAACAGGAUUAGAUACC